rnacentral:rRNA from 1 species
UACGGGGGGGGCAAGCGUUGUUCGGAAUUACUGGGCGUAAAGGGCUCGUAGGUGGCCAACUAAGUCGGACGUGAAAUCCCUCAGCUUAACUGGGGAACUGCGUCCGAUACUGGAUGGCUUGAGUUUGGGAGAGGGAUGCGGAGUUCCAGGUGUAGCGGUGAAAUGCGUAGAUAUCUGGAGGAACACCGGUGGCGAAGGCGGCAUCCUGGACCAACACUGACACUGAGGAGCGAAAGCCAGGGGAGCAAACGGG